rnacentral:rRNA from 1 species
UACAGAGGGGGCAAGCGUUGUUCGGAAUUACUGGGCGUAAAGGGCGCGUAGGCGGCCUGCUAAGUCGAACGUGAAAUCCCCGAGCUCAACUCGGGAACUGCGUCCGAUACUGGUGGGCUUGAAUCCGGGAGAGGGAUGCGGAAUUCCAGGUGUAGCGGUGAAAUGCGUAGAUAUCUGGAGGAACACCGGUGGCGAAGGCGGCAUCCUGGACCGGCAUUGACGCUGAGGCGCGAAAGCUAGGGGAGCAAACGGG